AGAAUCAACGCUGGCGGCGUGCCUAACACAUGCAAGUCGAACGAGAAAGUGGGAGCAAUCCCACGAGUAAAGUGGCGCACGGGUGAGUAACACGUGACUAACCUACCCUUGAGUGGGGGAUAACCUAGGGAAACCUGGGCUAAUACCGCAUAAUACCUACGGGUCAAAGGAGCAAUUCGCUUAAGGAGGGGGUCGCGGCAGAUUAGUUAGUUGGCGGGGUAAUGGCCCACCAAGACAGUGAUCUGUAUCCGGCCUGAGAGGGCGCACGGACACACUGGAACUGAAACACGGUCCAGACUCCUACGGGAGGCAGCAGUGGGGAAUUUUGCGCAAUGGGGGAAACCCUGACGCAGCAACGCCGCGUGGAGGAUGAAGCCCCUUGGGGCGUAAACUCCUUUCGAUCGGGAAGAUAAUGACGGUACCGGAAGAAGAAGCCCCGGCUAACUUCGCGCCAGCAGCCGC
rnacentral:rRNA from 1 species